rnacentral:tRNA from 1 species
CCUGGAGUACUUCAGCGGCAGAAGAGCCGGCUUCCUACCGGCAGGGCGCGGGUUCGAAUCCCGCCUCCAGGC